CCCACUUCCCUGCAUCUUUCUCCUCUACCUCCUCCCAAACUCACUCCUCUGCCUCCAGCUAUACUCCUAUUGCCGACUCCUCAUCUCCCCUCUUACUCAUCUUCCUCCUCUGCAUUUUCCCACCAUUGAACAACUCUCAUUUAUGCAUGUUAUGAGUGAAAUUGUAAGGCUUCUUUUCGUGGUUGACAUUGAAAUUGGCCCAAAUGCAGUAAAUCCAAUCACUGCAGUCGAAGAUGGCCACCGGAGAUAGUCUCCUCAGCAUUACGCAUUGUGGGCAUCCCUUGUACAUGGAUUCUUCAUUAUUGGCCUCACCGAUUUGAGAGUACUUUCUUAUCAUAUAUGUACCGGAUUUUCUGGGUAGUCGCACCUUUUGAUCUGGAAAUUGAAAGGACACUAUAUAGAUAAAGAAGGCAUACACCGCAACAAGAAGAAGAAGAUGUUGGACAACAAAUAGAGGGAAUCACGAUAGAGCUACCUUUUGAAGAAGAAAUGACAGAAAACGAAGCAAAUAGGCGAGCUCUUAGGAAUUUUGCUCUACCGGAAACCCAAGAAUCUCAAACAAGUAUAGCAUGGCCGACUGUAAACACUAAAAAUUUUGAAAUUAAACCAUCAUUAAUCCAAAUGGUGCAACAAUCGCAAUUUGGAGAUAAUGCCGUAGAGGAUCCUAACGUAUAUUUAGCCACAUUUUUGGAGAUUUGCGACACUAUUAAAAUGAAUGAAGUUAGUGAGGAUGUAAUAAGGCUAAGAUUGUUUCCAUUUUCAUUAAGGGAUAAGACUAAAAUUUGGC